GACGAACGCUGGCGGCGUGCCUAAUACAUGCAAGUAGAACGCUGAAGGAGGAGCUUGCUUCUCUGGAUGAGUUGCGAACGGGUGAGUAACGCGUAGGUAACCUGCCUGGUAGCGGGGGAUAACUAUUGGAAACGAUAGCUAAUACCGCAUAAUAGCAGUUGUUGCAUGAUAACUGUUUGAAAGGUGCAAUUGCACCACUACCAGAUGGACCUGCGUUGUAUUAGCUAGUUGGUGGGGUAACGGCUCACCAAGGCGACGAUACAUAGCCGACCUGAGAGGGUGAUCGGCCACACUGGGACUGAGACACGGCCCAGACUCCUACGGGAGGCAGCAGUAGGGAAUCUUCGGCAAUGGACGGAAGUCUGACCGAGCAACGCCGCGUGAGUGAAGAAGGUUUUCGGAUCGUAAAGCUCUGUUGUAAGAGAAGAACGAGUGCGAGAAGUGGAAAG
rnacentral:rRNA from 1 species